UAUUUUAAACAAUUUUUUUCAUAGAUUCACUUAACAUAUAUUAAUUUGCUUAGUUGAUAUAGUUUUUAAUAUGUGUGUGUGAGAGAGAAGUGUGUGUGUGUGUGUGUGUGUGUGUGUGUGAGAGAGAGAGAGAGACAGAGGCAGAAAGAAAAAGAGAGAGAGGGACUUAUUAUAUGCCAGGGACAGAUACGGAUUCAUGCAUUCAGUCACAAAAUAUUUAUUGAACAUCUACUAUUUACCAUGCAUAUGUUGAGAGCUGAUAAUAUGAUAGUUGUCAAAGAGACCCCUUCCUUGCUGUCAGUGUGAUUAGAGUCAAAUAGGGAAGAGGGACAUUGAUCACAUUAAUAUUAAUGUAUGCAUAAUUUCAUGCUAAAAUAUAUUUUUGUAGAAAUGACAGUUCAAGUUUGGACAUAUAUAAGUAUUUGAGUGCUCUUUAAAAUUCAAAAAGCAUUUUUUCUAAGAUGUGCUGCUUCAGCUGAGGUCUGAAGGAUGAAUAUAACCCAAAUAUGUGUGUGUUUAGAGGAGGGAGCGGCAGAAGCAAGCAAGCAGUUCUACUUCCUUACUGGCAGUGUCCCGAUGUGUGCUGGGUAUCCAUCUUUCUUGAAUAUUUCUCAGAGAAGAAAGUCAUCAACCUAAGGUGAAGGAAGCAUUCCUGGAUGCAAAAAAAAGGAAGAAAAUAAAGAGAGGCCCUUCUGCCCAUGACUUAUAGUCUAAAAUCAACGAAGAGCCUCAUAACAAGAAACUUUCAAGGACUGAAAACAGAGUCAAACAAAUUUUGUAUUGCAAACUAAAAAUAUAGGAGAAAUAAAUCCAAUUAAACAGCCUGAACACAACAAAGGAUGGCAUUUAUUAUACACAACUAGUAGGAAAGAUUUGUUAAAAGAGUUGUGCCUGUAUCUCCAAGGCUAGUUUUUAAAAAUUACUUCAAAAUAAAGAAUAUUAAACUGCGAGACAGAGGUUGGACAGAGGGCAGAGACCAGUGUCUGAGAAACAAAAUUUCUCAAAGAUUAUAAAUACAUAGCUUUGCUUGUUGUGCUUGAAGUCCACUGUAGAAGAGACUGCCAAUUUCUCUCAGUAUUACUUUCUUUAUUCCUGCUAGUAGUAAGAGCUCUUGAUUUUAAGUGCUGCCUUGUGACUGAAGUGACUGAAGUUCUCCCCUUCGGUGAAAUGUGCGUCUAAGUUAACGUGCCAACUUCCACAUCACAUU
rnacentral:lncRNA from 1 species